CCUGGCUCAGAGUGAACGCUGGCGGUAGGCCUAACACAUGCAAGUCGAACGGCAGCACAGUAAGAGCUUGCUCUUACGGGUGGCGAGUGGCGGACGGGUGAGUAACGCGUGAACAAUCUGUCCCAGACAGGGGGAUAACACUUGGAAACAGGUGCUAAUACCGCAUAAGACCACGGAGUCGCAUGGCACUGGGGUAAAAAGGAGCAAUCCGGUUUGGGGUGAGUUCGCGUCCGAUUAGCCAGUUGGUGAGGUAACGGCCCACCAAAGCGACGAUCGGUGGCCGACCUGAGAGGGUGAUCGGCCACAUUGGAACUGAGAGACGGUCCAAACUCCUACGGGAGGCAGCAGUGGGGAAUAUUGGGCAAUGGGCCGAAAGCCUGACCCAGCAACGCCGCGUGAGUGAAGAAGGCCUUCGGGUUGUAAAGCUCUGUUAUAGGGGACGAAGGAAGUGACGGUACCCUAUAAGGAAGCCCCGGCUAACUACGUGCCAGCCGCGGC
rnacentral:rRNA from 1 species